UCUGUGUGAUUAUUUGCGACCAAUGAAUUAAUGAUAGAUAAAAUUAGGGAUUAUUAGGGUUGCUCUCGAUUGCCCUAGUUGCCGCUCUUUAAUAGAGCUUUGUUGUCGACGGCCGCCGUCGUUCCUCCUCAUCAAAUCUCCACAUCCUUCAUCUAUCAUCAUCACCAAACAUCUCCAUGGCUCAUCGAGCGCGAUCCGACGCUCCGGCAAAUCCACCAACCUACAGUACUGCAGUGCCAAAGGGAGCGGCCCAGAGGCAGCAUUGAGUCCCUGCCUCGCCGCAGAUCGGACGGGCGGUGCCAGGGCUGCCGAGCCCUCCGUCGUGACUUCCAGCGUCGUCGUUCUCCACCACUCCGCCUCCUGUCCCUGGAUUUCAGCAACCUAGGGUUCCUGCAUAGGGACCAGAAAUCCUUAUCCCAUCGGUGGAAGCGCUAUCCCUCGCUGUGAUGGUGAAGAACCCGAAGGCUCUCAUAUAGGAUAAGAAAGAGGGAUAACCAUGAGUCUAGUUUUGUGGUGUUUACAAUGAGGAUCGCUAGAGUCCAUAGUCUUGUUUUAGCGUUGUUUUGCUUAUUGUUCUCUGGUGACUGUGUUCUUUUACCGUCGUCCGUUAGCUGGUGAACAAGGAUCGAGGUUACCGUUAUUGGGCGGAGACCCGCAGCCCAUACAGUUCCGUCUGUGGAGUCUGUACCUCCGGUGAGCACAUUAUACGCUCUUUGAAUCAUCUUUGAGGAAUAAUAUAUCGAGUAUCAUCUUUGAGAAAUAAUAUAUCAGGUACCAUCCUGUUCCAAAAAAAGUGAAUUAAUGAUAGAUAUUGCAUACAUCUUCAUGUUAAAAAAAAAACCUAUGUAGAUAUUUAGGUUCUUGGGUUGUUUGUGAUUUUAGCAAAGAGAUCAUUCGAUCAAGCUACCGGCCUGCAGGAUGUGCAUUUAUAACAUUAAG
rnacentral:lncRNA from 1 species